rnacentral:rRNA from 1 species
CCUACGGGCGGCAGCAGUGAGGAAUAUUGGUCAAUGGACGAGAGCCUGAACCAGCCAAGUAGCGUGAAGGAUGACUUCCCUAUGGGUUGUAAACUUCUUUUAUAUGGGAAUAAAAUGUUCCACGUGUGGGAUUUUGUAUGUACCUUAUGAAUAAGGAUCGGCUAACUCCGUGCCAGCAGCCGCGGUAAUACGGAGGAUCCGAGCGUUAUCCGGAUUUAUUGGGUUUAAAGGGAGCGUAGGUGGGUUGUUAAGUCAGUUGUGAAAGUUUGCGGCUCAACCGUAAAAUUGCAAUUGAAACUGGCAGUCUUGAGUACAGUAGAGGUAGGCGGAAUUCGUGGUGUAGCGGUGAAAUGCUUAGAUAUCACGAAGAACUCCGAUUGCGAAGGCAGCUCACUAGACUGCAACUGACACUGAGGCUCGAAAGUGUGGGUAUCAAACAGGAUUAGAUACCCCAGUAGUC